rnacentral:tRNA from 3 species
GGGGGCGUAGCUCAAUUGGAGGAGCACAAGAUUGUCGAUCUUGGGGUUGCGGGUUCGAGCCCCGUCGUCCCCGCCA